ensembl:snRNA U2 U2 spliceosomal RNA
AUCACUUCCUGGCCUUUUGGCUAAGAUCAAGUGUAGUAUACAGUAUUCUGGAAUUUGUACAGUAUACUGUAAUUUUUACUGAUUUUAUUGUAUAGUACAGUACUGUAGUUUUAUGUUCUAUUAAACAUUACAAUCCUGC